rnacentral:misc_RNA from 1 species
GAUGAAGAACGUAGUGAAUUGCGAUAAGUAAUGUGAAUUGCAGAUUUUCAGUGAAUCAUCGAAUCUUUGAACGCACAUUGCGCCCCUUGGUAUUCCGAGGGGCAUGCCUGUUCGAGCGUCAUUAUAACCCCUCAAGCUCAGCUUGGUGUUGGGGCCUGCUGCACUGGCAGCCCUUAAAAUCAGUGGCGGCGCCAUCUGGCUCUAAGCGUAGUAAUUCUUCUCGCUAUGGAGUCCUGGUGGAUGCUUGCCAUCAACCCCCAAUUUUUCUAUGGUUGACCUCGGAUCAGGUAGGGAUACCCGCUGAACUUAAGCAUAUCAAUAAGCGGAGGA